UCAUCGGGUGGCAUCCUCCAGCCAUUUAAUCCGUCGAGCAAUACAUCGAGCGGGGAAGCUUUACAUGCGACGAUGGGAGUUGCUUUCAUGCUCGCAGUGCUGGUUUGGACUUGGAGGUUCUACUUGUGAGUUUCAAGACUUUUGUAGUGAUGGGAAGGGAGUGUUCGUUGUCCGUCCGUUUGCUUAGAAGCUUUAGCUACUU
rnacentral:lncRNA from 1 species